AUUGAACGCUGGCGGCAUGCUUUACACAUGCAAGUCGAACGGUAACAGGCCGCAAGCUUCUGACUAGUGGCGACCGGGUGAGUAAUGCAUCGGAACGUGCCCAGUCCUGGUUUAUAACUACUCGUAACGUUAGCUAAUAUCCCAUACUAUCUCUUGAUGAAAGCGGGGGACCGUAGGGCCUCUCGCGAUUUGGGCCGCCGGUAUGAGCUGAUGUCGGAUUAGGUAGUUGGUGGGGUAAAGGCACACCAAGGCGACGAUCCGUAGCUGGUCUGAGAGGACGAUCAGCCACACUGGAACUGAGACACGGCCCAGACUCCUACGGGAGGCAGCAGUGGGGAAUAUUGGACAAUGGGCGCAAGCCUGAUCCAGCAAUGCCGCGUGCAGGAAGAAGGCCUUCGGGUUGUAAAGUGCUUUUGUAGGGAACGAAACGGCGCUGGUUAAUACCCGGGGGUAAUGACGGUACCGUAAGAAUAAGCACCGGCUAACUACGUG
rnacentral:rRNA from 1 species